rnacentral:piRNA from 1 species
UAUGAGUGCCUUACAUGGAUC